rnacentral:rRNA from 1 species
CAGUAGCCGCGGUAAAACGUAGGUGGCAAGCGUUGUCCGGAAUUAUUGGGCGUAAAGGGCUCGCAGGCGGUUUCUUAAGUCUGAUGUGAAAGCCCCCGGCUCAACCGGGGAGGGUCAUUGGAAACUGGGAAACUUGAGUGCAGAAGAGGAGAGUGGAAUUCCACGUGUAGCGGUGAAAUGCGUAGAGAUGUGGAGGAACACCAGUGGCGAAGGCGACUCUCUGGUCCGUAACUGACGCUGAGGAGCGAAAGCGUGGGGAGCGAACAGGAUUAGAUACCCCUGUAGUCCCUGUCUCUUAUAC